rnacentral:tRNA from 1 species
GGUCAGAUGGCCGAGUUGGUUAUGGCGCCAGGUUAAGGUCCAAUCUUAACAUUGAGUUGUUUGGAAAAAAAACAAUUUCCUGGUCACGAAAGUGGCGUGGGUUCGAGUCCCACUCUGAUCA